UCCACGUAUAGAUAAUGUCUCACUGUGAUUUUACAUAUUCCAAAAUAGGUGUUUACUCUCUCUCUUUUUAUAUUAUAUUAUCAUCUAAUAUCACAUAUUUGGUGAACCUGUUGGGUUUUCCAUUAGUAUUUACAAGUGUGUUUUCUGUACAAGUUUAUACAAUUCCAGUGAUCGAAAGGUGCUCCUGAGGUUAGUGAUUUAAACCCCCUUUUUCAUCUCUUUCGCAUAUGCUUAUAUAUAGUUUAUGUACUAUAAUAAUAAGGGUUUGAUGUUUCUUUGUGAAUUUAAGAAGUUGAUGUUGAAUGUCCAUGAAUAUCCACCCUAAGAAAACACAUCAGAAAUUAUGUAUUGUACUGUGAUGGUCAAAAGGGUAUGAGCGAAGCGAAUGUGGUUGCGGAGUUAAAAUUGGUUGGUGUUGGAUCUCUUGAUAGCAAUACUGGAAUUCCUUCUCUUGAUCAUAUGUUGGAUAAUCUUCCUUUUUAGCCCCACACCCUCCCUUUUUUUUGUGCAUGUGCGUAUGGCGCACCAAAUAUCCCAAUUUACGAAUGAGAUUCUGUUCAUGGAGGACACUGAGUUUCAAGCUCCCUUUUUAUAAAGGAAAAUACACACCUCCACACCUAUUUUUUUAUUAAUGCAUCACCUUAAUUUAAAAAUUUGAGCUGCCGAGAUUUCCAGUUAUACUAUGUUAGGAUGAAUGUCAACGUUUUCGACAGAGUAUGAAGUGGACUUAUAAAUAGGUUACCAACUGCUGUUACAAUGUACAUGAAACCAAAAAGUGAUUGUAGUUUAUUAGUGAAUUUUCCAAAGUCAUAUAAUUCUUUUAGGCAUGUUCGUUAGUCGGAAAGGUUGAAUUUUUUUAUGUAGGUGAUUUUUUUAUAAUGAUUUUACAAUGUUUUUGUUUGUGUAUAAUAUUACAAUGUUAUGGAUUAGAGUAACUUUACCCGAUGGGCUAUCUUACAGUUAUGCUGGUGAGCUUCCAAGCUGUGCAUUUGUUUUUCAAAACCAUGGUCUGACAUUUACACUCAAAUCGGCACCACCAGCUAGCUGUUUUAGAAACUGUGGUAGGUGAAAAAAAAAGGUGGGUAGGGCGAUACUUCAUUUCUAGAGACCUCCUUGAACAAACCAGCAUUUAGGAUGCAAUUAGUAAUAUUCUAAAUGUUGAGAUUGCAUCAAGUCAGUGGCUUCCACUUCAUGAUAUCGGGUCAACCUCUUUCUUUCAUGCCAAUAUCUACCUUCAUCUUGAAGUUGACCAGAUUUUGUAGGUUUCGUGUAGAUUUUGUGGUUUAUUGAUUUGAUUGAAUAUGUUUGUGAGAUUUUGUGUCAGGCGCAGAUUGGAUAACGACUAACGGAUCAAAACAGAUGUACCAGAUUUUAGUAUGCGUUAUUGUUGAAUCUCAAACAUGAUAGAGGUUUUUUUCAAUUCUAUUUUGGACGCUUUAUUGAAGACAUUCACUGCUGAUGAAUUAGUUUGUCUAAAGGACCCGUUUUUUUUUUGUUAUAACCGGGCAAAAAAUGGAUCCGUAAGCAUGGAAAACAUGAAAGUGGCUGAACAUUAUGUUUUACCCAGAAAGAGACAAUUUUUAUAUCAAGAGGCUCACAUGCAGAGAGGAGAUGAUGCAAGGAUGGACAUCGAUAAUCUCGCAAAUGUUUCAAGCAUAGAACCACAUGUGGAAUUCUCGAGCCCAUUGUUUCACAGAUCUGUGAAGUUGCCAUGAGCAUGCUUGAUUUCGAACAAUCUAGCAAAUCAUUUGAGCUUUGCUUUUGGAAUCCAUGAUGUACAUCCGAUGGUUAAUAUACUGGAUGAUGGAUAUCAUUGGCACAACAACUUGCGGAUCUCUACUGCAUCACUUGCAGGAUUAAUAUGUAGGUGAUAUUGUUGUAGAUAAUUUGAGACGAAGUUAAUGAACCAGCAACCCAAUCACCUGCCAAAUUCACUAAAACCAAAUUUACAUGAUGAGUUGCAAAAACUUCAAAUAGAACAAGUGAAGUUCAGAAAGUAAAAGUCUGGCAAGUCGGCCAACAUUCACGAGUCUGGAAUCUUCAAUACAUAGCUGAGUUAGCAAGAAAUGUCAACUACUAUGUUAUUAUGCUUCAGGAAAUGAGAAAACAGGGAACAACUUAGGAUAUAUUGCUGCUACGAGAAAGGAAGCUUUCGGUUGUUGAUAUUGUUUCGGAUUACAUAAAGGCUAAAAAUAGGGCAAUAUUGUUGAACUAUGAUUGAACAAUGCUGCCAGCGUGCCUUAAAAUCCAAUAAUCAAGACACCAAGUACAGAAGUUAUUUUAAUCUUCAACAUGCAUCCUGGAGAUGACAACAAUAAAGUAUUUAUUGUUAGUGGAAGAAGCAUAGAAAGCUUAAGCAGGGCUCCUUGCAGGAUGUUUGGUAUUUCAGUCGAACGUGGCUACUUCAUGAGGUUUGAAGAAAUGGACGAUGAGAUCGAGGAAGCCUUGGUUUCGACUUUGGAGUGACGGGUAUUCUGCUUAUUACACUAUCGAUUAAGUGUUGAAAUUAAAGUACAUAUCUUCCUUGAAACAACUUACAAUUGUGAUUCCGUCUAACCUGGGCCCAAUGUACUGAAUUAACAUUGUUCCAAUCUGCACUCAAGAAUAGGCUGAAUGAUCUGCGGAGUCAGUAUCCAAUAGUUAUUGAUUCAAGCUCCGAAGAUGAUGAAUCUGAUGAUAGUGAUGAUAAUGAGGGUGCUGCAAUAUACUUAUAUGAAGGUAUAGUAACAACACCUAAGACAACAUGUGAGCAAUAGACUAUCAAAACAUACCCAAGGGUUAAAGGUAGACGGUUUUUCUCUAUCAGAAUGAGAUACUGAAUGUGUACUGACUAUACAGUUUGAAGCGGUAGGUGCUGCCUAAGUGUAAGCUUGAGAGACGAUUGUCGUGAUUACUUGAAUAACUCAAUUAUAUAUUUACGUGAUUACUAAUAUGCACAUUUCAGUGGCUUUAAUAGAAAUGAGUUAUGCAUUUUUAAUGGUUA